rnacentral:rRNA from 1 species
UACGAAGGGGGCUAGCGUUGUUCGGAUUUACUGGGCGUAAAGCGCACGUAGGCGGAUCGAUCAGUCAGGGGUGAAAUCCCCAGGGCUCAACCCUGGAACUGCCUUUGAUACUGUCGAUCUGGAGUAUGGAAGAGGUGAGUGGAAUUCCGAGUGUAGAGGUGAAAUUCGUAGAUAUUCGGAGGAACACCAGUGGCGAAGGCGGCUCACUGGUCCAUUACUGACGCUGAGGUGCGAAAGCGUGGGAGCAA